ACUUUGGGAGGCCGAGGCGGGAGGAUCACCUGAGGUCGGGAGUUUGAGACCAGCCUGACCAACAUGGAGAAACCUUGUCUCUAAUAAAAAUACAAAAAUUAUCUGGGCGUGGUGGUACAUGCCUGUAAUCCCAGUUACUUGGGAGGUUGAGGCAGGAGUGUGGCUUGAACCCGGGAGGUGGAGGUUGCUGUGAGCCGAGAUUGUGCCAUUGCACUCCAGCCUGGGCAACAAGAGCGAAACUUCAUCUCAAAAAAAAAAAAAAAAGAAAAGAAAAGAAAAGAAAGAAAGGAGACCGAAAAUGAAGCUGGAAGCUACGGAAGAUUACCUCCAAGGCUUAAUGGAAUUUGCCACUUUGGAUUUCAAAAUUGCUGGAUAUUGGUGAUUUUUUUUUCUUCCAUUUUCUUCUUUUGAAAUGGAAAUUCCCAUAACUGGUAUCCUGUGCCUGGCUCACAACUGUAUUUUGGGAGAAAACACCAACAUUUUUUCUAGUUUCAAAAAUUUACAGAUAGAAAAAAAAUUAUGUCUCAUGAUGCAUUAUACUGAAUCUUAUUUAUAAUUGAUUUAGAUUAUGAGAUUUGGGAAUUUUGAACUGAUCAUAUUUACAUGAGAUCUUUGGACUUUGAUGCUGUAAUGGGUCAAAACUUUCAGGAAUGUUGGAAUUGGGUUGUGUGAAAGCAUUUUGCAUGUGGGACAAAUAAAAACAUUUAGCAGCCAGUGGGUGGACAUUAAUAGAAUAAUGGUCCCUCAUUCAUGUCCCAAUCUUUGGAAUCUGUGAAUAUGUAAAUUUACAUUACAAAAGUGACUUUGCACAAGUGAUCAAAUUAUGGAUCUUAAAAUGGAAAGAUUAUACUAGAUUAUCUGGGUGUACUCAAUAUAAUCACAAAGGUCCUUAUAAAGGAAAAAAAGGAGGCAAGAGAUUCAGGAUCAGAGGAGAUAUGAUGGUGUAAACAGAUGUCAUAUAAAUGUGAUUUUUGCUUUGAAAAUGGACAAUGAAGCUGGAAUACAGGAGAAAAAGUAUUCCUUCCUAGAGCUUCCAGAAGAAACUCAAUCCUGCCAAAACCUUGAUGUUAGCCGAGUGAUAUUUGACCUCUAGAAAUGUAAGAGAAUAAAACUGUGUUGUUUUGUUCUACUAAAUUUUGGGGAUUUGUUACUACAGCAAUAAGAAAAUACUGCCAACACAAAAUAGGCUGAUAAAAAUGAACACAGCCUCAGGGACCUGUGGAACAAUGACAAAGGACCCCCAAUUAUAUUAUCAGAGUUCCGGAGGAGUGGAGAAAAAAGAUGAGCUAGAAAAGUAUUUGGAGUAAUAAUGGCUGAAAACUUCCAAAAUCUGGCAGAAGACAUAUAGCAACAGAGUCAAGAAGCUGUGUGAACCUCAAAUACAUUUACAUCAAUAUAAUAUCAUAAUUAAACUUCUGAAAACUAAAAACAAAGAAAAAAGUCUUGAAAUCAUUGAGAGAAAUGACACAUUACUUCUAGGAAACAAAAAAUCUAUUAAUUUUGAAUUAUCUAAAUGGCAAACAGUAGGAAUAAAAGGGAAAAUAUAUUAGAUACAAGACAACUAAAAUAAUUUGUUGCCAUAAGACUUACUCUUAACGAUUGGCUAAAGAAAAUUAUUUUUAAAAAAGAAAUGAUAAAAUAAGGAAAUUCGAGAACAAGACAGAUCAAUGAAAAGUGAAGAAAUAUUAAUAUAUAAAAUAAAAUUUAUCAUAUGAGUUUUAUAAAUCAUACCUAAUCAAAAUCUAAUCAUAUGUAAACAAAUUACAAUACCAUCUGAUACUCAAGGUAAUGAUAUUUAAAAGUGGGAAACGUAAAGAAAUCUAAAGGGAAGUAAGCUUUUCCCACUCCACUUGAACAAAUAAAAUGCUGAUACCAACAGACUCUGAUAAUUCACAUAUAUACAUUGCAAUACCCAGAGCAAUCACAUUCAAAUAUAAUAUAACAAAAUCAAGAAAGGAUCCAGGAAAAUGUCUAGGUAAUCUACACAAUUGCAAAAAAAAAAAAAAAAAAAAAAAAAAAAAGAAAAGAAAAGAAAAAAAAAGGAAUAAGAAACAGAGAAAACAAAUAAUAUAAAGUAACAAAAUCAAGUUCUAACAUAUCACUAAUUGCCUUAAGUAUAAAUGACCUGAAUAUACCAAAUGACAGAGAUUGACAGAGUGGAUUAACAAAAAAAAAAAAAAAAGAAGAUGAUGUAUCCAUUUACUGUCUAUAAGGAACUGACUUCAAAUUCAAUUACAUGGGUUGGUUAAAAUUAAAGGGUGGAAAGUCAUAUACUAGCCAAACACUAAUUUACAAAGAGCAGCAGAGGUUACAUUAAUAAAUUAGUACAGCCAUUACGGAAAAAAUAAUUGGCAGUUCCUUAAAAACACCAAACGUGCAAUGACAAUACUACCCAAUAAUUACACACUUGGCCAUUAAUCCCAGAAAAAUGAUAAUUUAGGUUCACAAAAAAAUCUGUGCACAAAUAUCCAUAGCUUUUUUCAUAAUAGUAAAAAAAAACAGAAACAGCCAAAUAUGCUUGAAUUAGUAAAUAUAAUUAAGUGGGAAAAAGCUAACUUAAAAAGGCUGCAUAUUAUAUUAUUUUAUUUAUAUAAUAUUUUUGAAAUGGAAAAAUAUAUAUAGAAAUGGAGAACUAUGAACUAGAGGUUUCCCAGUUGUAAGAAGGAGGAGGGGAAAGCAAAAGAGAAGUGGAUAUGAUUAUAAAAGGGCAAUGCAAGACAUCCCUGUGGUGACAAUAGUGUUUUGUAAUUUGAUUUCAUGGUGAAUAUAUGAACCUACACAUGAGAUAAAUUUGCAUAAACACAUAAAUGAUUAAAAGUAAAACUGGAGAGAGUUGAGUAAGUUGUGCAUUCUAACAUUGUUAAUAUCCUAGUUAUGAUAUUACACUAUAGUUUUUCAAGAUGUUACAACUGGGGGAAACUGACUGAAGUCUAAACAAGGCUCACCUGUAUUAUUUGUAAAAACUACAUGUGAAUCUACAACUUUACAAAAUAAAUGGUGUAAUUAAAAUUAAAUGGGCAUGUGUGUAUAUAUUUAAAAUUCUCCCGUUUGCCUUAUUGAUUCAUGUGUUAUUUAAAAUUCUGAUGUUUAAUUUCAAAAUAAUUGAAAAUUUUGUAGGUAUUUUAAUAUCAUUGAUUUCUAGCAUAUUUUACAUUAUUUCAGUCUUUUUAAAUAUGUUGAGAUUUGUUUUAUGGUCCAGUUUUGCUUUUUUUUUUUUUUUUCUUUUUUUUUUGAGAUGGAGUCUCACUGUCUUGCCCAGGCCGGAGUGCAGUGGCACAAUCUCGGCUCACUGCAAGCUCCGCCUCCUGGGUUCACGCCAUUCUCC
rnacentral:lncRNA from 1 species